rnacentral:rRNA from 1 species
UGGAGAGUUUGAUCCUGGCUCAGGACGAACGCUGGCGGCGUGCUUAACACAUGCAAGUCGAACGAUGAACCACUUCGGUGGGGAUUAGUGGCGAACGGGUGAGUAACACGUGGGCAAUCUGCCCUGCACUCUGGGACAAGCCCUGGAAACGGGGUCUAAUACCGGAUACUGAUCCUCGCAGGCAUCUGCGAGGUUCGAAAGCUCCGGCGGUGCAGGAUGAGCCCGCGGCCUAUCAGCUUGUUGGUGAGGUAACGGCUCACCAAGGCGACGACGGGUAGCCGGCCUGAGAGGGCGACCGGCCACACUGGGACUGAGACACGGCCCAGACUCCUACGGGAGGCAGCAGUGGGGAAUAUUGCACAAUGGGCGAAAGCCUGAUGCAGCGACGCCGCGUGAGGGAUGACGGCCUUCGGGUUGUAAACCUCUUUCAGCAGGGAAGAAGCGAAAGUGACGGUACCUGCAGAAGAAGCGCCGGCUAACUACGUGCCAGCAGCCGCGGUA